AAUAUUGCGCAAUGGGGGGAACCCGGACGCAGCAACGCCGCGUGAGUGAAGAAGGUUUUCGGAUCGUAAAGCUCUGUCCUUGGGGACGAAAAGAUGACGGUACCCAAGGAGGAAGCCCCGGCUAACUACGUGCCAGCAGCCGCGGUAAUACGUAGGGGGCGAGCGUUGUCCGGAAUUACUGGGCGUAAAGGGUACGUAGGCGGCUAUAUAAGUCAGGUGUGAAAUACCAGUGCUUAACACUGGAAUUGCAUUUGAAACUGUGUAGCUUGAGUGCAGGAGAGGAAAGUGGAAUUCCUAGUGUAGCGGUGAAAUGCGUAGAGAUUAGGAGGAACACCAGUGGCGAAGGCGACUUUCUGGACUGUAACUGACGCUGCGGUACGAAAGCGUGGGUAGCGAAC
rnacentral:rRNA from 1 species